rnacentral:rRNA from 1 species
CUCUCCAAAUUGUUUUUGCUUGCAUAAAUGAUUUUUGGAUUCGGAGCGAGUGGCGAACUGGUGAGUAACACGUGGGUAACCUGCCCCGAAGCGGGGGAUAACAUUUGGAAACAAGUGCUAAUACCGCAUAAUUAGUUGGAACCGCAUGGUUCCAACUUGAAAGAUGGCUCUGCUAUCACUUUGGGAUGGACCCGCGCCGUAUUAGUUAGUUGGUGAGAUAAAAGCCCACCAAGACGAUGAUACGUAGCCGACCUGAGAGGGUAAUCGGCCACAUUGGGACUGAGACACGGCCCAGACUCCUACGGGAGGCAGCAGUAGGGAAUCUUCCACAAUGGACGAAAGUCUGAUGGAGCAACGCCGCGUGAGUGAUGAAGGUUUUCGGAUCGUAAAACUCUGUUGUUAAAGAAGAACAAGUGUUAGAGUAACUGUUAACACUUUGACGGUAUUUAACCAGAAAGCCACGGCUAACUACGUGCCAGCAGCCGCGGUAAUACGUAGGUGGCAAGCGUUGUCCGGAUUUAUUGGGCGUAAAGCGAGCGCAGGCGGUUUUGUAAGUCUGCUGUGAAAGCCCUCAGCUCAACUGAGGAAGUGCAGUGGAAACUACAAAACUUGAGUACAGAAGAGGAAAGUGGAACUCCAUGUGUAGCGGUGAAAUGCGUAGAUAUAUGGAAGAACACCAGUGGCGAAGGCGGCUUUCUGGUCUGUUACUGACGCUGAGGCUCGAAAGCAUGGGUAGCGAACAGGAUUAGAUACCCUGGUAGUCCAUGCCGUAAACGAUGAAUACUAGGUGUUGGAGGGUUUCCGCCCUUCAGUGCCGCAGCUAACGCAUUAAGUAUUCCGCCUGGGGAGUACGACCGCAAGGUUGAAACUCAAAGGAAUUGACGGGGGCCCGCACAAGUGGUGGAGCAUGUGGUUUAAUUCGAUGCUACGCGAAGAACCUUACCAGCUCUUGACAUCUUCUGCCAACCCAAGAGAUUGGGCGUUCCCUUCGGGGACAGAAUGACAG